GACGUAGGGGGCCAGCGUUGCUCGGAAUUACUGGGCGUAAAGGGUUCGUAGGCGGUGUGGCAAGUCGGGAGUGAAAUCUCUGGGCUUAACUCAGAGGCUGCUUCCGAAACUGCCGUGCUAGAGUGCGGGAGAGGCGAGUGGAAUUGCAGGUGUAGCGGUGAAAUGCGUAGAUAUCUGGAGGAACAUCAGUGGCGAAGGCGGCUUCCUGGUCCAACACUGACACUGAGGUGCGAAAGCGUGGGGAGCAAACAGG
rnacentral:rRNA from 1 species